UACGGGGGGCGCAAGCGUUGUUCGGAAUCAUUGGGCGUAAAGGGAGCCUAGGCGGCUUGGUAAGUGGGAUGUGAAAUCCCCGGGCUCACCCCGGGACCUGCAUCCCAAACUGCUGAGCUUGAGUACAGGAGAGGGUGGGGGAAUUCCAGGUGUAGCGGUGAAAUGCGUAGAUAUCUGGAGGAACACCGGUGGCGAAGGCGCGCACCUGGCCUGCUACUGACGCUGAAGCUCGAAAGCUAGGGGAGCAAACGGG
rnacentral:rRNA from 1 species